UCCAUGUUCAAAGAUUCGUCAUCGAAGCCUACAAAAAGACUUUUACAAGUCAAUCAAAGCUUUGGGGAAAGUCUCCUGUCACAAUAGCGGAAACGCAAUGAUCUAUCACAGAUUUCAUUGACGGCGGUUUACAUUCCCAUUUGUGCUGAUAUGUCCUUGCUUUAUAUCUCUUUGAUUUCCUUACUCUUUCAGGGUGGGUCGGAUCCUGUUGGCUCUAUUGUUCCAUGUUGUGAAUUUCUUGAUUCUGUGUUUUUGUUGCUAAUCCAUUUGGAUCUUGUCUUUCUAGCUCUGGCAACUGAUGCACAAUUGAAUGUGGGAUUAUUGCACAGGUUCAAUAUACGGGGUUAACACGGACCUGGUUCUUAAGGGGUCAUACACGGAGAUGUUUGCUUUUUGGGUGUAUUUUGUGCAUUGGGAAAGUACGUGCCGUAUUACGUUCCUGAAUGGGUUUAUUUAUCUCAUUUGGAUGUAUUCCGGUAUCAUUUCUCGGAAUGGUAUUGGACAGUCGACAUUGGGAUCUUGCGGAUCCUAAACGAUAGUCAUGACGAAUGAUCGGUAUGAUUAACGCAAUGGAGCUUAUUCUUGAUUCAUGG
rnacentral:RNase_MRP_RNA from 2 species